GACGAACGCUGGCGGCGUGCUUAACACAUGCAAGUCGAACGAUGAACCAGGGCUUGCCCUGGGGAUUAGUGGCGAACGGGUGAGUAACACGUGGGCAACCUGCACCAGACACCGGGAUAACCUCUCGAAAGAGUGGCUAAUACCGGAUACGACCACUUUGGGCAUCCAACGGGGGUGGAAAGGAUUCUGGUCUGGGAUGGGCCCGCGGCCUAUCAGCUUGUUGGUGGGGUAAUGGCCUACCAAGGCGACGACGGGUAGCCGGCCUGAGAGGGCGACCGGCCACACUGGGACUGAGACACGGCCCAGACUCCUACGGGAGGCAGCAGUGGGGAAUAUUGCGCAAUGGGCGAAAGCCUGACGCAGCGACGCCGCGUGAGGGACGAAGGUCUUCGGAUUGUAAACCUCUUUCAGCAGGGACGAAGCGAAAGUGACUGUACCUGCAGAAGAAGCACCGGCUAACUACGUGCCAGCAGCCGCGGUAA
rnacentral:rRNA from 1 species